rnacentral:rRNA from 1 species
AGUGAACGCUGGCGGUAGGCCUAACACAUGCAAGUCGAACGGCAGCACAGUAAGAGCUUGCUCUUACGGGUGGCGAGUGGCGGACGGGUGAGGAAUACAUCGGAAUCUACUUUUUCGUGGGGGAUAACGUGGGGAAACUUACGCUAAUACCGCAUACGACCUACGGGUGAAAGAAGGGGAUCUUCGGACCUUGCGCGAUUGAAGGAGCCGAUGUCGGAUUAGCUAGUUGGCGGGGUAAAGGCCCACCAAGGCGACGAUCCGUAGCUGGUCUGAGAGGAUGAUCAGCCACACUGGAACUGAGACACGGUCCAGACUCCUACGGGAGGCAGCAGUGGGGAAUAUUGGACAAUGGGCGCAAGCCUGAUCCAGCCAUACCGCGUGGGUGAAGAAGGCCUUCGGGUUGUAAAGCCCUUUUGUUGGGAAAGAAAAGCAGCAGGUUAAUACCCCGCUGUUCUGACGGUACCCAAAGAAUAAGCACCGGCUAACUUCGUG